GUGGGGAAUAUUGGACAAUGGGGGGAACCCUGAUCCAGCCAUGCCGCGUGUGUGAAGAAGGCCUUUUGGUUGUAAAGCACUUUAAGCGAGGAGGAGGCUACCGAGAUUAAUACUCUUGGAUAGUGGACGUUACUCGCAGAAUAAGCACCGGCUAACUCUGUGCCAGCAGCCGCGGUAAUACAGAGGGUGCAAGCGUUAAUCGGAUUUACUGUGCGUAAAGCGCGCGUAGGUGGCCAAUUAAGUCAAAUGUGAAAUCCCCGAGCUUAACUUGGGAAUUGCAUUCGAUACUGGUUGGCUAGAGUAUGGGAGAGGAUGGUAGAAUUCCAGGUGUAGCGGUGAAAUGCGUAGAGAUCUGGAGGAAUACCGAUGGCGAAGGCAGCCAUCUGGCCUAAUACUGACACUGAGGUGCGAAAGCAUGGGGAGCAAACAGGAUUAGAUACCCUUGUAGUCC
rnacentral:rRNA from 1 species